CCUGGGCAGAAAGACGCGAUGGAGCAAGUCGCCAGGUCAGACAUGCUGAAUCUUUCCCGCACCUCUCUGCUGAUGGAUGCUAGAGAAGCCCUGUGCUAUGGAAGGUUUGAGAAACUUGCUCCAGAGCACGUGAACAUCCAAUGAUCUAACAGGACUGAAACAGGGCUUCUAACUUUAAUGUCUUGGCUUGAUACAUGCAUGCUGCCCAUACUGGUGGCGAACACGCUGGUGUGUGCUUCCUGACGGAUCCCCUCUGCCUGGUGCCGGGUGCUUCAUGGAGACUGGGCUACUUCUGGGACAACUUCUCAGUCUGUUUUGACGCUGGGCAAGCCAGUGAGUCACCUCUUCCCUUGAAGACUUUCCCUUGCUUUUCCUGACAGAAAUCAUCUUCCUCACACACAGCAGCCCUACUCCUUAACUCCGGGCUGAUGCUCUGACUCACUGACGCUCACUCUUCAACCUAGGCUAUAGUAAGCCUAGGAAUACCUGUCACAGGACCUCCUAAUAAGAUAUUCGUUCUUGCAAAACAUUAGAUGUGCGCCACACUGAACUGAGUCCUUAGAACAUGUUCUUCUAAAAUACAGAUGACACCAGAAAUCCAAGCAUGUCUCUGAAAAAAGUUUGUCCUUAGAAGGAGAAACUGGCCAAGAGAAUAAAACGAGUGAUAAUCAAAACAACGGACAACCACCAGUAUUUUCAAAGUGCUUCAGAGCCAGCAAAUCCCCUGCCUCAUUUCCUGAGGACAGACCUCUGUGACGUGCGGAAAGCCACACAGCAAAAACAUUGAGGACAGAACUCGACUUCCAGGCUCUCACUUCAAAGCUCGUACUCCUCUCAAAACAUUCUCUAGGGGGCUUCUGUCUCAAUACCUGUGGGGUCAUUUGAAAAUCGAAAGCAGAAAUUUCCCUGGUCGGCAUUAUGCAUUCUCUAAGAGCAAGCAUCUUCAGGAAGAAACCUAAAACAGCGACAAUCAAGAACCAAUGAUUUCUGUCUUUCUUUAACAGUAACAACUCUUAGUUCGCUUUCCCUACUUCAUAUGAAAAAUCGUAACGUCCAGGAGUCACGGGACUUCAGAGGAAGGAAGGAGAUGAGACAAAGGCAUCUCUACUGAGCACUCUUCGUCCAUCAGCAAGGAUGCUAGGUGUGCCUUCGUUUUCUUAGCCUUUCUCUCUCGGGGCAACAAGGCUCGAUUUUAUACUUAACCUCCCUCUUCUCCAACAAAACUAAACACGCGACACAGAAACUCUUUAUCAACCUUAUCUCCAGGAAAAGAAUGGAGCACAUACUUUUUAAGACACUGGUUUAUUGAGAACAAUGAAAACACUUGGGAAAUCAUUAUCUGUUGACAUUGAAGUCUAUAGGACAGAGGGCCUUUCCUUUCUAACCUAAAUGUCAUGUUUGUAACAUCUAUAAAAAGGUUUAAAUGAUAUAAACAGCCAAGUCAAGGAGUGGAAAGUUAUUCCUUCGCUGAACAGAUCAUACCUCCGGCGAACAGACUCCCUGCCCUCUGACCUGAAGAAACAUUUUGUUCCCAGGUCUUGGGAACACCGAGUCACAUCCAUUGCAAGUUCUGAAUGGCAUUGUUCUUGGGGAACAAGAAAACAGCUCAUUUAAAGGCCAGAGCUGUCCAUUUUAACGCGUGAUAGGUUGAUGACUCCCCCCUACCAAGAACUAUUUGUCCAAUGCUUCCUUGCAUCGGGAACCACUCCAAAUUAAAAUACGCCCUUGCUUCCAUUUUCCACAGAACGGUCAGGGCGCCUGUUGAAAGGCUAAUUGCACCACAUCGCGUCACUCCCCUGACUCAAAGCUUUCCCUGGUUUCCCUCUGAAGGGAGAACAUAUUUCAGCUCCUUUCCACGGCAUAGUAGGCCACGUCUUUGCUGAGCUGGCCUCAUCACUCAUCCCGCUGUGCCAUGAGCCAGCCACACUGGCCUAGCCCACAUUCAGUGAAGGCUCCAUUUGAUCUCAGGAGUCUCCCACUUGCUCCUCCUCUAAACUUCCCCUUCACUGGGCCGGGACCUCUCUUUCUACCCCGAGUGUUGUACGAUGGUUUUUGCUCUUUUUGAUUUUUACUUUUUUGGGGGAGGGGGUCAGCUCCCAAAUAAAUCACACACUGAGGCUUAUUCGUAAUUAUGGAUGCCUGGCCUUAGCCUGGCUUCUUUCUUACUAGCUUUUUAAAAUUAUCCUAUUUACCUUUUCCCUCUGGGCUUUUACCUUUCUUACUUCUGUAUAUCUUACUUUCCUUCUUACUCCGUGACUGGCUGGGUGGCUGGGUGGCUGACCCCUGACAUCCUCCACUCCUUGUUCUCUUGUUCUCCUUCCGCCACAUUUCUCCUUCUAUGUAUACUGUCUGGAGGACUAACUAUCUUUGCUCCUGCUCUGCUAUUGGCCCUGCAUCUCUUUAUUAGACCAUCAAGCAUUUUAGACAGGCAAAGAAUCACAGCUUCACAGAGUUAAACAAAUGCAGCGUAAACAAAAGUCACACACCUGAGAAUAAUUUUCUACAAUUAUUUUUCAUCUUUCCUCAGAAAUUUUAAAAGAGAAGGACGGUGUGAUGCAGCUGCAUCACUCCUAGGUGUUUGCCCCAGGGGAUCGGUCAUCUCACAACAGAGACAUCUGCACACCGGGUGUUUGUCAUGAUGCUAUUCACAACAGCUCGGACUGGGGAAUUGUUGACCCAAGUUUCUGUCCCACUAGGUCCCACAGCCAUUUAGGCCCAAAUAAAUACACAGAGGUCUACAUUAAUUAUAAACUGAUAGGCCUAUUAG